AUUGAACGCUGGCGGCAUGCUUUACACAUGCAAGUCGAACGGUAACAGGCCGCAAGGUGCUGACGAGUGGCGAACGGGUGAGUAAUGCAUCGGAACGUGCCCAGUCGUGGGGGAUAACGCAGCGAAAGCUGCGCUAAUACCGCAUACGAUCUAUGGAUGAAAGCGGGGGACCGUAAGGCCUCGAGCGAUUGGAGCGGCCGAUGUCAGAUUAGGUAGUUGGUGGGGUAAAGGCUCACCAAGCCAACGAUCUGUAGCUGGUCUGAGAGGACGACCAGCCACACUGGGACUGAGACACGGCCCAGACUCCUACGGGAGGCAGCAGUGGGAAAUUUUGGACAAUGGGCGCAAGCCUGAUCCAGCAAUGCCGCGUGCAGGAAGAAGGCCUUCGGGUUGUAAACUGCUUUUGUACGGAACGAAACGGCUCUGGUUAAUACCUGGGGCUAAUGACGGUACCGUAAGAAUAAGCACCGGCUAACUACGUGCCAGCCGCCGCGGUAAAAC
rnacentral:rRNA from 1 species